CCUACGGGGAGCAGCAGUGAGGAAUAUUGGUCAAUGGACGAGAGUCUGAACCAGCCAAGUAGCGUGAAGGAUGACUGCCCUAUGGGUUGUAAACUUCUUUUAUAUGGGAAUAAAAUGUUCCACGUGUGGGAUUUUGUAUGUACCAUAUGAAUAAGGAUCGGCUAACUCCGUGCCAGCAGCCGCGGUAAUACGGAGGAUCCGAGCGUUAUCCGGAUUUAUUGGGUUUAAAGGGCGCGUAGGUGGAUUGUUAAGUCAGUUGUGAAAGUUUGCGGCUCAACCGUAAAAUUGCAGUUGAAACUGGCAGUCUUGAGUACAGUAGAGGUGGGCGGAAUUCGUGGUGUAGCGGUGAAAUGCUUAGAUAUCACGAAGAACUCCGAUUGCGAAGGCAGUUCACUGGACUGCAACUGACACUGAGGCUCGAAAGUGUGGGUAUCAAACAGGAUUAGAUACCCGUGUAGUC
rnacentral:rRNA from 1 species